UGUUUAGGAAUACAAAACUCUCUCUCUUUCUCUCUCUCCCCCUCUUACACACACAUAAUUAGUCACCACUAAAACCUCACCUCACCACAAGCGCUUACCACCGGGAAGCAUUCGACGUCGCACAUCGCCACCGCCACUGUCACAAAUCGCCACCGUUGCAAAUCACCACCGCUACUGCCGCAAUACCAGGUCAUUGGAUUCAUGAAAUGGGAUGCUCACUGUUGGUGACCAUGGCUUCCCUCAUUUGCUUGAUAAUUUUGCCUAUAAUAUUUUAUUCAAGGAAAACCAUCAAAGGCAGUUGUGGAUAUCCAGUAUUCAAUGUUGCAACAAAAUUUGUCCAUAGCUAAUCCAAAAAAGGUUGGAUGACUUCCACACUUUGAUUG